UACGUAGGGAGCAAGCGUUGUCCGGAAUUACUGGGCGUAAAGGGCGUGUAGGCGGCUAGACAAGUUGGAAGUGAAAACCAUGGGCUCAACCCAUGGCGUGCUAUCAAAACUGUCUAGCUUGAGGAUAAGAGAGGAAAGUGGAAUUCCUAGUGUAGCGGUGAAAUGCGUAGAUAUUAGGAGGAACACCAGUGGCGAAGGCGACUUUCUGGCUUAUCACUGACGCUGAGGCGCGAAAGCGUGGGGAGCAAACAGG
rnacentral:rRNA from 1 species